rnacentral:lncRNA from 1 species
CCAAAAGACCCCUCCCCCCCCAUAUCCCUCCAUAUCCCCCCCAUUGCACCCCCAUUUUUCUCCCCCCCCAGGCCAUGCGCCUCCAGGCUCCUCACAGCCCCUGGGCGCCGCUGCUAGGGGGGGCGGCCUGUUCCCUGUUGGCUGAGGGGGUGGGGGAUGCGGCCACGCGCUGGGUCCUGCCCUUCACCGCGGGGGGCUUCAUCUACGUGGGCACCUGUUCCGUCCUCCCACAACUGCUACAGAGAGGACGACCCCGUCCAGUCCCUGCUGCAGCUCAUGGCGCUGCUGGCCGGGGUGGCCAUGAUGGCCGCCAUCGCUCAGUGGGAGUAAUGGGGGUCUAUGGGGCAGGAUGGGAGGGAUAUGGGGUGAUAUAGGGGGGAUAUGGGGGGUAUAUGGGGGUCUUUUUGUAGGAGAUGAUCAAUAAAAGAGUGAUUGAUGACAUCUAUGGGGACCCAAUGGGGAUUCUAUGGGACUUGGAGGACCCCAAUAGGACAUGGAGACCCUAAUAGGACAUGGAGACCCUAAUAUGACAUGGGGACACUAUGGGGACCCAAUGGGACCCAAUGGGACAUGGAAGACCCCAAUGGGACAUAGAAGGCCCCAAUGGGACAUGGGGACCCUAAUAGGACAUGGGGGACCCCAAUGGGACACGGAGACACCAUGGGGACCCAAUGGGACAUGGAAGACCCCAAUGGGACAUGGGGACCCCAAUGGGACAUGGGGACCCUAUGGGAACCCAAUGGGACAUAGAAGACCCCAAUGGGACAUGGGGACCCUAAUAGGACAUGGGGGACCCCAAUGGGACACAGAGACACUAUGGGACCCCAAUGGGACAUGGAAGACCCCAAUAGGACAUGGGGGACCCCAAUGGGACAUGGGGACACUAUGGGGACCCAAUGGGACAUGGGGACCCUAAUAGGAUAUGGGGGACCCCAAUGGGACAUGGGGACACUAUGGGNCCCAAUGGGACAUGGGGACACUAUGGGGACCCAAUGGGACAUGGGGACCCUAAUAGGAUAUGGGGGACCCCAAUGGGACAUGGGGACACUAUGGGACCCCAAUGGAACCCAAUGGGACAUAGAAGACCCCAAUGGGAACCCAAUGGGACAUAGAAGACCCCAAUGGGAACCCAAUGGGACAUGGAAGACCCCAAUGGGGACCCAAUGUGACAUGAGGAUCCUAAUAGGACAUGGGGGGUAUUUUAUGGGGUAUUUUAUGGGGUCAGGGGGAUAUUAUAGGGUCGGAGACUCAGUCCAUAUACACAACAUCCAUUUUAUUGUGGGUCCCAAUGGGGGGGGUCCAUCCAUCGGGACCCCAAAACAGGGGGUACAUUAUGGGGUCGGGGGGUAUAUGGGGUAUGAUAUGGGGUAUAUGGGGUAUAUUAUGGGGUAUUUAUGGGGUAUAUGGGGUAUGUUAUGGGGUAUAUGGGGUAUAUGGGGUCUCUAUGGGGUCUCUAUGGGGCGGCCUUGCCCUGCGCCCUGUGCUGUAGGUCCUGCUGUAGCUUUGCCAGCAGCUCCCGCUGCUGCUCCGACCUCUGCUCCAUGUCCUGCAUCUGCUGCUCACAGCGCUUGCUGUAUGGGAUUAAUUCAUACGGGAUUAAUAGGGGAUUAA